UACGUAGGUGACCAGCGUUGUCCGGAUUUACUGGGCGUAAAGAGCGCGCAGGCGGUCGGUCAAGUCGAGUGUGAAAGCCCCCGGCUCAACUGGGGAGGGUCAUUCGAUACUGAUCGACUGGAAGGCAGGAGAGGGAAGCGGAAUUCCCGGUGUAGUGGUGAAAUGCGUAGAUAUCGGGAGGAACACCAGUGGCGAAGGCGGCUUCCUGGCCUUCUUGACGCUGAGGCGCGAAAGCUAGGGGAGCAAACGGG
rnacentral:rRNA from 1 species